UAGAAUAUGGUGUAAAUGGGUAGCACGAAGAUUUUUGAUUUCCUUAAGAUGAGGUUCGAUUCCUAUCAUUCUAG
rnacentral:tRNA from 1 species